rnacentral:ncRNA from 1 species
GACAGGGGUGCCUCGAUUAUCAACGAGGCUGAGAAUAACCCUUUAACUUGAACCGGGUAAUGCUGGCGUAAGGAGUCUUGAGAAA